ensembl:snoRNA SNORD14 Small nucleolar RNA SNORD14
UCGCUGUGAUGAUUGUGUUCCAAACAUUUGUAGUUUCCACCAGAAAGGUUUUUCUUUUGUGUUGGCUCAGCCCUUCCUUGGAUGUCUGAGUGA